rnacentral:rRNA from 1 species
UACGGGGGGAGCAAGCGUUGUUCGGAUUUACUGGGCGUAAAGGGCGCGUAGGCGGCCAGCACAGGUCAGUUGUGAAAUCUCCGAGCUUAACUCGGAACGGUCAACUGAUACUGUGCGGCUAGAGUGCGGAAGGGGCAACUGGAAUUCUUGGUGUAGCGGUGAAAUGCGUAGAUAUCAAGAGGAACACCUGCGGCGAAGGCGGGUUGCUGGGCCGACACUGACGCUGAGGCGCGAAAGCCAGGGGAGCGAACGGG